CGAGUGAAGCGGGAAAAGCUCAAAUUUAAAAUCUGGCAGAUGUUUGUCUGUCCGAGUUGUAACCUAGAGAAGUGUAACCUGUGCUGGACCAUGUACAAGUCUCCUGGAAUGGAGCAUCAUAGAGGGUGAGAAUCCCGUCUUUGACAUGGACUACCAGUGCACUGUGGUUGCACACUCAACGAGUCGAGUUGUUUGGGAAUGCAGCUCUAAAUGGGUGGUAAAUUCCAUCUAAAGCUAAAUAUUGGCGAGAGACCGAUAGCGAACAAGUACCGUGAGGGAAAGAUGAAAAGAACUUUGGAAAGAGAGUUAAACAGUAUGUGAAAUUGUUGAAAGGGAAACGCUUGAAUUCAGCUGCAUUGGCUGGGGAUCAAGCCAGCUUAUUUGCUGGGUGUAUUUCCUGGUUGAUGGGCCAACAUCAGUUUUGACCAUCAGAGAAAGGCUAAGGGAAUGUGGCACCUUUAUAGGUGUGUUAUAGCCCUUUGGUUGUAUGUGGUGGUUGGGACUGAGGACAGCAGCGUGCCGCAAGGCCAGGUUUCGACCAUGUUCACGCUUUGGAUGUUGGCAUAAUGGCUUUAAGCGACCCGUCUUGAAACACGGACCAAGGAGUCUAACAUGCAUGCAAGUGUUUGGGUGGAAAACUCGAGCGCGUAAUGAAAGUGAAAGUUGAGAUCCCUCUCACAGGGGAGCAUCGACGCCCAGACCAGAACUUUUGGGACGGAUCUGCGGUAGAGCAAGCAUGUUGGGACCCGAAAGAUGGUGAACUAUGCCUGAAUAGGGUGAAGCCAGAGGAAACUCUGGUGGAGGCUCGUAGCGAUUCUGACGUGCAAAUCGAUCGUCGAAUUUGGG
rnacentral:rRNA from 1 species